rnacentral:rRNA from 1 species
GAUGAACGCUGGCGGCGUGCCUAAUACAUGCAAGUCGAGCGAACGGACGAGAAGCUUGCUUCUCUGAUGUUAGCGGCGGACGGGUGAGUAACACGUGGAUAACCUACCUAUAAGACUGGGAUAACUUCGGGAAACCGGAGCUAAUACCGGAUAAUAUUUUGAACCGCAUGGUUCAAAAGUGAAAGACGGUCUUGCUGUCACUUAUAGAUGGAUCCGCGCUGCAUUAGCUAGUUGGUAAGGUAACGGCUUACCAAGGCAACGAUGCGUAGCCGACCUGAGAGGAUGAUCAGGCACACUGGGACUGAGACACGGACCAGACUCCUACGGGAGGCAGCAGUGGGGAAUGUUGGACAAUGGGCGAAAGCCUGAUACAGCAAGGCCGCGUGGGUGAAGAAGGCCUUCGGGUUGUAAAGCACUUUUGUCAGGAAAGAAAUCCGUGGACAGAAAACGGUCGGGGGAUGACGGUACCGGAAGAAUAAGCACCGGCUAACUACGUG